rnacentral:rRNA from 1 species
GGGGCGUAGCAAUACGCUCGCUGGCGACCGGCAAACGGGUGCGGAACACGUACACAACCUUCCUUUAAGUGGGGAAUAGCCCGGGGAAACCCGGAUUAAUACCCCGUAAUAUAAUGAAGUGGCAUCGCUUUAUUAUUAUAGCUCCGGCGCUUGAAGAUGGGUGUGCGACUGAUUAGGCAGUUGGCGGGGUAACGGCCCACCAAACCUACGAUCAGUAACUGGUGUGAGAGCACGACCAGUCACACGGGCACUGAGACACGGGCCCGACUCCUACGGGAGGCAGCAGUAAGGAAUAUUGGUCAAUGGACGCAAGUCUGAACCAGCCAUGCCGCGUGGAGGAUGAAGGUCCUCUGGAUUGUAAACUUCUUUUAUCUGGGAAGAAAUCCACGAAUUCUUUUGUGGUUGACGGUACCAGAUGAAUAAGCACCGGCUAACUCCGUGCCAGCAGCCGCGGUAAUACGGAGGGUGCAAGCGUUAUCCGGAUUCACUGGGUUUAAAGGGUGCGUAGGUGGGUUGGUAAGUCAGUGGUGAAAUCUCAGGCUUAACUUGGAAACUGCCAUUGAUACUAUCAAUCUUGAAUACCGUGGAGGUCAGCGGAAUAUGUCAUGUAGCGGUGAAAUGCUUAGAUAUGACAUAGAACACCAAUUGCGAAGGCAGCUGGCUACACGAAUAUUGACACUGAUGCACGAAAGCGUGGGGAUCAAACAGGAUUAGAUACCCUGGUAGUCCACGCCCUAAACGAUGGAUACUCGACAUACGCGAUAUACUGUGUGUGUCUGAGCGAAAGCAUUAAGUAUCCCACCUGGGAAGUACGAUCGCAAGAUUG